rnacentral:rRNA from 1 species
GCUAACGAGCGCAACCCUCGUCGUACUGUUAUAUAGUGUCAUACGAGACUGCCGUAAAAGCCGGAGGAAGGUGAGGAUGAUGGUCAAGUCAGCAUGACCUUUAUAUCCAGGGCUACACACACGCUACAAUGGUCUGUACAAUGGGUAGCCAAGCCGCGAGGCGGAGCCAAUCCUGAAAGCAGGCCUCAGUUCAGAUUGCAGUCUGCAACUCGACUGCAUGAAGCCGGAGUUGCUAGUAAUCGCAGGUCAGCAUACUCGCGGUCCGAAUACGUUCCGGGCCUU